rnacentral:tRNA from 1 species
GGAGGGAUGGCAGAGCGGACGAAUGCGCGGCUCUUGAAAAGCCGUGGAACUCCGGUUCCCGUGGGUUCGAAUCCCACUCCCUCCGCCA